UAACGUAACUUCAAUUGUUUAUUUGGAAAAUCCAACAAUAUAAUGUUCAUUAGAAUUUAUAUCAUUAAUUUCAUGUAAUCCAUUAUGGUGCAUCAUGCUUUUUAAUUCCUUUACAAAAUUUUUAAUGGUACAAGAUUAGGUAAUUGUUCCACCAUAUUAUGAGCUAUCCAAAUGAAAUCAAAUCUACUAAUAUAUGCCAUUUUAUGUUUAGAAGUUGAUAAAAAUGUAAUAGGAUGGAAGAUUAUCUGAAAGUAUAAUGUAGAUUGUUAAAUUUAUUAAUUUUGCACAGUAUUUUAUGGUUCGUAAAUAAGUGAUAAUUUUAUAAUUCUCUAUGAUACUUUAUGAUUUUUAACAUUUAUCCAAGAUAUAUCAUUCCACUUAUAUUUAUUUUUCUCUUUUUCCCAUGAUUCUUGUUCCAUUUCUUUAUUUGGUGUUUCAAUUACUAAUGUUCCAUUUAGGAUAGAAGAAUCUCUAUGCGAUGCAAUAAGUUCUUGGCAUAUUGAUUCUCCAGUUCUAAUUUCAUACAUAUGCUUCAUAAUUUCCCUCUCAGCUAUAUCAGUUGCUCUAUAUCUACUAUAUUAUUGUGUUUUAUUACUUUCAAUAUGGUAAUAUCAAUAGUAUCACAACAAAAUACAAAUUUAGAAUGCAGCUUACAUAUUAUCAUCACUUUUCUCCUGUAAAGCCCAAGUGAAGAAAGGACCAUUUGUUAUGUCUCCUAAGUAAGUAUAAUGUACAAACCCAGGACCAUAUUGUAUAAUAUUGUUUAACAAUGUUGGAUUACUUCUAACAGGUUCACCUUCUAACCAAGUAAAUGCAAUUCCAUUAUUUCUCCAAAAUCUAAUAUUAAAAUAGGAAAUAAGUUAUAAAAAUAUGCUGA